AAACAGAAGUCUGAGAUUAUUGGCACCGCCCUUUUGAGAUUUUUCAAGGAAACCAUUAUCUCAGGGGAUGGGCGGUCCUCUCCCACCUACGAAGACUAGGACUAUGGGUUAUCGAUUAAGGCUCCAGAAGUUUGGUGUCUAAGACAAGGCUUCUGAAACCAAAAUGCACACAGACCGCUGGCAGAUGUUGCUGAAAUGCGACUCUGACCCACAGGUCUAGGGUGGAUCCUGAGAUUGUGCAGUUCCGAAGACCUCCCAAGCGGUGCUGUUGUUUCCAGACCUCGAAAACAUCCAAACGGUGUGGACUGGAAGCGCAGGAAAGGCUGAGGAAAUCAAGAGGGUGAAGCGUGCCAGUCCCCAGUGAGGCGCCAGCCUCCCUUUCACAGGUACGCUGUGGCCUGGCUGACCGGGAUCCCCAAAAACUCUCAGGCCUUUGGGGU